CUAGGCUUUCUCUGGGCUUGGUGAGGCAGAGCUGGGGCUUGUAAUCCGUGUGCCCUUCGGAAGGUGACUAGAGGAACCCAGCACCUACCUUGUCGCUAAGGAACGCGUUAGCCGGCAGCAGGGUGCAGCACGCAUAUGCACCAGCAGAUGACGCUGCUGCACCAUUCAGGCACCGGGUCCACCACCAAGGCGCCAUUGGGGUGUUUCCAUCGGGCGUGUCUGAGGCUGUGAUCGGCAGAAUCCGCAAAAUUCAGAGUUCAUGCAUGAAAGAAUUAAUUUGCAGAUGACAGAAUAAAAAUAUAUAGAGCAUGAAAUUGAUACUAAGGCACCGCCCUUGUCCUUGGGGAAAAAAUAUCCUUUCUACUUGAGCGGGAGUUGACUUCCCAAGGCGCUCAGGAGACGGCAUGGCUGUGCUCUCUUGCUGGGAAAAAGAUGCCGAAGGCAUAGCUUUUCACCACAGACGACUGAGCUGCUCACGAGUGUCCCCUCUAUGGCAGGCCCUGUGCUGGGGUGAAUAAGGCCCCAGUGUCUAGCCUCACAGCAGGGACGUCAGGGUCCCCUCACAGCAAGCCUUAGUUACAGCACUAAGUGUUGUUGACAUAUUGUACAGGUUUAUUUAUGUUUUUCCAAGCCCAGAUUUGGUCCAUGUGGCCCAACAAAGCAUUCCAGAUGGAAAUUGCUUUCUGGGGAGUGUAGCUUACAGACGCUGUGUUGGCAUUUCUUGGCUGAUGACUUGAGGACCGUGAGCAGUUCUGGAAAGCACAGGUCCAAGGACGGAGACAGGAGGAGGUCACACACAACAUGGUGCCCUGUGAGGGGAGCCUGGGUACCUUCCUUUCACAGAACCUCCUCUUCCACGAAGGCUCUCCCAGGGGCCGGAGCGAAGCCCUCUUCCUCGCUCUGGUAUUGCACCCCAGACCUCCUCCUUUUCUCCCUCUGCUCCCUCUCCCUGGAAAUCUCACCCAACUCCGUGGCCUUGAGUGUCUAUCAGAGAUGCCUCUAAGACACCAUUACUGGACCUACAGACAUUAAAUAAACAAACAAACCCAUAAAAAUCAUGGUGAUUACCCAAAUCUACACGUGUCAUAAAAUUGCAUAGAACUAGACACACACACAAUAUGUAUUAAACUGGGGAAAUCUGAGUAAGCUCUGUGCUUUGUACCAAUGUCAGCUUCCUAGCUCUGAGAUGCCACUUUAGUUAUGCAAGAUAUUAUCACUGAGUGAAACUGGAUGAAGGGUGCAUGGGACCUAAUUGUACAUUUUUUACAACUCCCUGUGAAUCUGUAAUUAUUUAAAAUUUUUAAAGUUAAAAAAAAGUGUCCAGCCCACAUUUCUGUCCUGUGUUCCAGGCUCGUGUGUCCUGCCACCUUUCCUCACUGCAGAUUCCUCGGCCUCCUCAAACUAGCAUGACCGUGGGACCCCAUCACCCUCCUCCCUCUCACAACCCCCUCCCACUUGCUCCCUGGGGUUCCCAGUGCUUCCACAGGAACUCCAGACCUAAAUCCAGACUUCCUGCCCCAGGCCUGUCUCCAGCCUGCGGCCCCCAGCGAGCCUUUUUAAACGCAAAAGCCAUCCUAUCCUUUUGCCUUCCAUGUGCAGUACGCGCUCUACGCGCUCAGGUGUUGCUUUAAAGUCUGAUUGUGUGGUAGACAGACAGAAUUCAUUUAGGUAGAGACAAAACUCUCUCCUUCACCUGACUGAUUCAGGCUCCUCUAAGCCCCUAGGCCUGCAUUGCCCGGUUGUAGCAAGAAUCCUGUGAAAUCAGUUUAGACAGAACCCCCAGCCUCGGGUGGAAUGCCUCACCCCCUCCCCCAGGUGAGGUCUGAUCGCCCUGGCCUGCCUCCCGCAAGAAUCCUGCUGGGUCGGUUUCACCAGAAUCCCCCUCCCUGUGGCGUUUCCUUGCAGCAAUUUUCCAUCCUCUGACAGCCCCCACACACUCCUUACUAUAAAUGUGCACCGCUCUCGGAACUGAGCCCAGUUCUAUCCGGAGGCCCCCUUUCUCCUAUUGCAAUGGUUCCUGAUUAAAAUCUACUGUUACAACUUUAUCUAUUGUCCAGCUCUGGUUCUCUUGGACAGUAGCUGAAGGAAAAUCCACUUCUUUCAUUGAAACUUUAUAUCAAUUGGGCUUCGGGAACAGAGGACAGCCACAAAGGGCUAGUGAGAGUCGAGACAUCGGACGUAAGACUGACAGACAAGCUGUGGUAGAGUUGGUCUAAUCAGUCAGACCAAGUGGAGAACCUGAACCUCCACUUUCCAGAACAAACGGAGCUUCAGAAAGACCCUCAACGUCCACUCCCGGGCUCCACCGUCUGCUGGACAUGAGCCUUGAACAAGUUACCUCCUCUCUCUGUUUGCUUUCUUUUCUGUAAAAUGGGUAUAAUGGUGCCUGGAAAUCAUGCUUCACGGCCUAAAGGAGACGACGGACACUUCGUACAAUGCAGGGCUUGCAGGGCUGGGGGCCUGGACCACCCCCAGCCCUGGCCAGUCCAGGUCUCGCUCCUGCACCAGGCACCUCCUGCCUCCUCCUUUGUCUGGCUGUCCCCAGCAACCGUCCCCUGACUUGGCUCUGUUUUCUGCACUCCAGAAUUUUUUUCACCCUUCCCUUCAGUGUCCCAGCAGUCAGAUGAUGGGACAGUGGUGUUUAGACUAUAGAGACAGACGGUUUGAAUCUCAGCUGGGAUCCAUGUGGCCUCUGACAAGUCAUUCAAACUCUGCAAGCCUCCAUGUCUUCCUAUGUAAAAUGGGUCUAACCAUGCCCACGCACGAGAUUUUUGGUGAGAAAGUGAGAAGAGCCACCUGGAUGGAGCAGAAGGAAUGUUCUAGUUCAGUGUGUGUGCUCCAAGAUGGCCUGUGAAUCCCAGCUCUGCUGCCAUCUGUGUGACCUUGGGCGGGUUCCACAGCCUUGUGUGCCUUGGUUUUCUUACCUGUAAAAUGGUUGCACUUGCAGCACGUACCUCCUGAUGUGAUGACUAUAACGAGUUCAUCUGUGUAAAGUGCUCAGCACAGCGCCCAGCAGGUGGUGAGUGCUCUGUAAACGUUCUGAUAAUAACACAAGCAGUUGUCGUGGUCAUUUCAGGAAGGUCUGGUAAGCAGGGUGGGGACUGGGUGGGAGUGGCUGGAGAAAGCUGAACUGUGGCCAGCACGAGGGAUGGACUGGCACAGAGCAAAUGUGGGGACUGGUGCCAGGUGGGAGGCAACGAGGGCCGAGGGAGGCUGAGGCCACUGAGGGUGGCGGUGCUGGUCUGACGGUUCUCACAGCCUCUGCAGGGGGUGAGAGGGCAGGGAAUUCCACUCUCCCCGGGUCAGGAAAGGGGCCCUGAAAGGCGACGACUUUCACAAGACUUCUAGUGGCAAAGGCAAGCUGGGUCCUCUGAAACCUGAGGUCAGGCUCUUUCCUCUUCCCGCCGGCCUCCGUAGCGGAAGGCAGAGACCCACGCACAGUCGGAGAGCCCAUGGAGCCGCAAGAGCGUGGCCUGAAGCUGGAGGAAGAGGGAUUGGGUUUCAUUCGUGACCUGAUAAAUCUUCAAGUACCACCCACAUCUGUUGAGACUCCUUUGCCCCAAGGCCCUCCCGUCGCACCUCCUCCACUCUCCCCAAGCCUCCCCUGUGCUCACUGCCUCUGCUCCCCGGAUUCCAAAUCUCUCUUCAGUCCCAGCAUCUGGUUCUGCCCCGCUCCUCCUCACUAGAGGUCCUAAAAUCAAAGGACCGUCCGUCCUCACCCAGCCUGGCAACCUGGCAUCCUGGCAGCCCCAGCGAUCUGUCCUCCCUGUGGAGACUCUCCCCCGGGCUCCACGCAGGAUUCUCACCCCCACACUGACGUGUUCUUGUCUCCUUUGUGGUUCCUCUUUGGCCGUGGCUUCCUAAAGGUUGGUGGCUGAGGGUUCUGCCCACUCUGUCCACUCUCCCUGCACAGCUUCAUCCUCACCCCACACAGUGACAGCGCUCCUCUCCCGUCGCCAGAGCCAGGGGUGGGUGGGGCUAAAGCUCUUCCUCCCAUCGGGCCUUCCGGUCUCCAUGUCCUCCCCAUCUGGUCCACCUGGCAGGCAAAUUCCUGUUCACCCAGAGUCUCAGCUCCACUGUUGCCUUCUCUGGGGACCUCUGACCUUUCCAGGCAGCUGGUUGCUCCCUCCCCUGGGGUCUCUUACUUUGCUAAAAUGAGCAGGCUGCACAUUGGUCUCUGUGAUCUCUCGGGGAAUGUGUGAAAGACAGGAUCCUCUCUCUCAUUUCUGUUUCCCCGGGCCUAGUACACAGAGGUGGUCAGUAAGUGCUCAAUAAUGGCACAACUUUCCAAAGCACGUUAGUUACACCCCAGGCAUUGUGCUGGGCACGCUACAGCUUUAGUGCAAUUUUACAGCCCUACGUUGUUGGGACUUUAAUAUGGUCCUUUUGCGGGUGAAGAAACUUGAGACUUAAAGAAACUAGGUGAGGGAGUCCAAGACCACACAGGUAGUGAAGAGCAUCCAGUGAAUAAACCAAAGCGUGAAUGAACGCUUCCAACGCAAAGUCCCUGCCAAGCAGAGCUCUGCCCAGGGCCCAAAGUGAGUGUGAAAUUACUAUUCUCCACACACACUGAUGCCUACAAUUCAUGUGAGUUGCAGGAGCUGGGAGUGAGCUGGUAUCAGGGGCAUCCCACACAUUUCUGCUGCAUAUGCCCCAGACUGCACUGCCUUUUAAAGAUGUUAAGUGUGCAAAGGGGCUGCGCUUGCUGGGAACGGCGGCCCCCACGCGGCCCUGUCGGCAGCGCAGACGUGGAAGGAGAGCCGGGGGCAGGGGCUGACCCAGGCUCUAGCCACCAGCCAGGUGGGGAAUCCUGGGGACCCUUCGCCCACCUUGUUGGCUGCUCCUGCAGCUCUUCUGAUGACUUAACUGGGAGAUUAGAGGGGUUCCCACGUGUUUGUUGCUGUUACCACCGUCUGAGAAAUUGUCGAGCUAAACUUCCUCGGGAAGAGCAGCCUGGGACAGGUUCUGCCUGGAGAGAGAGGGUGAUGCCAAUGAGGCACAGCCCCCGGGGCCAUGUGCCCAUCUCUAGGGCAGCCCCCUGGACACUUUGUGGGGACAAGCUCAGCAGCUCUGGGCUCUGUGAGGGCCUGGACAGGGCCAACCACCUCCUACCUCCCCCAGUUGUACACCCCAUCAGUGGGCAACCCAAGGCAGGAGGAGGAAGGGGAGGAGGAAGAGAAGGAGGAGGCUUCGACUUGGGUUGACCAGUGGUUCAGGGGUCAUAAACUUGACCUCUCUCUGGGUCCCAGAGAGAAUAAAGAAAAAUCCCAAUGGCCAGUGAUCGUUUUAAUCUUGGUUUCCUACCUACAUAUUGUGUGAUUGAGAGUAUCUUAAUUAAACUCCCGUGCCUCGCUUUUCUCCUCUGUGUAAUGGGAACAACAGCACCUACUUCACGGUGAUUGCUGUGGGAUUACGUGGAUAGUCCACAUUAAGAGCCUGGAACACCGCUGACACGUGGAAGUACGCAGUGAGUGUAAACCGUGACCGUUCCAACAGCCAGGUCAGGGCGUCGGAAAGGCUCCAAGUCAUCAAAGGAGGGGAACCAAUGUAUGCCUGUUCAGCAGAUACUUAUCGAGCGCCCAGAGGUCAGGCAAUGUUCAAGGUCAUGCCAAAAAUGGCCCUGCUCUCGUGGAGCUUAUACUCCGGUGUGGAAAUUAGACAUGGAGCUGGGGGACGACUCUAAUAAACGUAUAGUUACAAACUGCGGGGAUGUGCGCUCUGAAGCAGAGGAGCCCGGCCCUAAGUGAGGACCUGGCCAGGCUCCAUGGGGAGUGGGGUGGGGCUGGGCUCGCCUCCUAUUUCCCAGACACCACACCAGACACUUCCACGUUCGUUAUUUCCCAGAGCCAUCUCGGCAGUCCUCUAAGCUGGGUCUCUUUGAAACUUAUUUUACAGCUAAAGAAACAGGGGCUCAGAGAGGUUGAGCAACUUGCCCAGAACCAUACAGCCAGCUGGGGACAGAGUUGGGAGGGUCAAUCCCAAGCCCAUCUGCAUGGAACUUAGUCCAUACCUUCCCACAGUGCCUCACUGUGCUGACCACAAGAAUGUGGACACUGGGAAGGCCACCAUCAGCCUCUUCCCCCCGAGGAGACAGACUCCAAUGGCUGUGACGGCAAACUGCUUUUCUGUCCCCAGCAACUGACACUGAGUGUGGCCCUGGCAGCCCUGGGAGGGGCCCUAGGGGAUCCAAGUCAUCCAGGUCCAGAGAAUAGCCUGUCCCUCAGGCUCGGAAAGGAUGUCCCUUCAGGUCUUCAGCCUGCAAAGAGGGCAGCUAGAAAAGAAGAAGAGUUGGCAGCUCACAGUGGGCCACCAGUGCUGUCUGGAAGAAAGACAUAGAAACCGAGAGGGGGUAAACUGCAGAGAUAAAAUUGCAUUUCCCAGCAGGUCUGAGGGCAUGAUAUUCAGAACUCAGAGAAAAAUCUACCAUAAAUGGCCACCUUCACGGCAUAUUUCAUCCACUAUUGAUGCAUUGAAUAUCAAGGGCAGUGACCAGGUGCCAAGCACUGUGCCAGGCCCUAGGGGUAGCUGUAGAGGGUGCUCCCCCUCCUGAGGCGCCCCAAGGCUGGGGAGAAGAAGACAGAAGGAAUGGCUCUUCCUGAACCACGUCACUGUCCUAGAGCCCCAUCAGAACAUGGGCGGGUGUCUAAUGCUAACAGCUCAACUCCUUGAACUCAUUUCAGUAAACAAGAACAUGCUUUUAGCCAAUUUUACUGACCAGCAUAGGGUGUCUUUUUUCCGGGCAUGAUCGGAAGCCCAAACAAGUCAGUAAGAAUUUGGCUUCUUUACAAGGGGAGAGAAAGUUAACAACAGAAUAUACAGAAAACCCCUCACAGAUGGCCUGACCCUGGCUUUCCCCUUUUCUGCUCGGGCCCCAAGAUGCAAUGAUUAUAAGCAGCCCUGUGAUGAAGCCCCUGUGCGCUCUGCUGGGGGGGCAGCAUCAUAUAUAUCACCUGGUUUAAUUCUGUAAGGUGGAAUCGGGAUGUCCGCUUAGAGAAGAGGGGCCUCGGAGAUGCUGGAUACGCUUACCAAAGCACACCUGGGAGUCGGACGGAGCAUUUUUCUGGCCCUGAAGCAGGGCUCUUUCCCCUGCACAGGGCUUCAGGAAAGCACGCAGGCCUGUUUGCAGGCCCUCCAGGGACAGCGGCUCCAUCCCCUCCUGCUGGGGCUUUUGCAACUUUAAGGCUCCAUCAGCGCUAAGAGUGUGUUUUAAUGAAUGGGCUUUCAACAGCGAUUCAUCACUUAGUUAAAAAUUGCAUCUGAUCGAUUGUCCCCUGAGGUUUGGCUCCAACCACUUCUCGGGAAAACCCCAGCUGUGUCCUCCAGACCAGAUCAGUCUCCAUGGCGCUGGCUUUUGUCACAUCUGUGCCCAGAGUGCGGUAAAUCUGUUAAAGGCUGAGGAGAAGAGAUGUUCUCGCCCUGUUAAAUCAUGUUCCUUUUGUAGGUCAUUUCUUUAAAUCAACUAAUCAACAUUUUAAAAUUUAAAAGUAAAACAGUUUCAUUCACAUAGCCUCUAAUUGUGUGAUGCCUUGUUGUAUAAAGUGUGAGGGGUGGGGACACAUGGAGCUCUAGACAUGAUGGUUCAGACGUGGGACAAGAAUGACAGGACAGAAAUAACUCUGCAGGCAGAGUGCCAGCUGGAACCCAGGGGCUCACAAGGAGCCAGGAGCUUGUCCGUAAAGUGGUCACCGGGGACACUGGCAUCUGCUGGGAAGUUAACCAAGUGCUGGGCGUUGAGUUCUUUCUUCCUCCUGGGUUAUUGGCGGCUCUUGUCUUCUCUUCUAGACUAGUAUCUUGUGACAGGAAUUGAGAAAGACCAACCCAAUAGCUAUUCUCCUUUUGUUCCUUAUUAACUAAACCCAGCUUCAAUUUAGGGAAGCAAUGUGUCUUGCUAAAAAACUAAGUUUCGCAGUCACUCUGCAAUGAUGUGUGGUCCUGUGACACAGUUGUGUCAAAAGAGAUUCUGUGGAAGAUGUUGGGUGAGGCUUCUAGGAAAGUCCCUUCUGCCCUUUGACCUUCUCCUCUGUCUUCCUGGAACAGGGACAUGAGGACUGGAGCUCCAGGAGCCAUCCUGUGACCACAAGGGGAAAAACCCCUGCCAAAGAAGGCGUGGCAAAGCUUCAAGGAUAUUACGAGUUCCCUGGCUCUGGGGAUCCCUGUGUUUCUGUGUGACAGCACCCCGGCAUCUCAGCAGGUAAGACAUUUUGCAGCUGGCAGAUCUGCAUGGGUUCUGAUUCUCACUGGAGCUAAUUUGAAGUGCCUCCACUCAGGUAGCCAAACGUGAACAUCAGCUCUGCAUGGCCCAUGUUCACGUGGGGCUCAGAGGUUAUCCAAAUUAAACGUUCUUAGGAAUCGUAGUUAAUGCUCACAAAUAAACAUAAAAUCAGCAUGUGAGUAAGGGAUUCCAGCUAAUAGCAUUUUUAGUUAGUAAAUCAGUUUUAAUCAGGGAUUUAAUAACAUUCUAAUAAUAAAUACUAUUUAUUUGGGGCUAGAUUAUAGAGAUUAUCUUAAAAAUUUGGUAUGUCAAGAAUUGUUUUUUAUAUGCUCAAUUGCUUGUAACCCCACAUAAUAUUAUGUUGCUAUGGCUCAUUCGUCCAGGGAAAAAUUAGAGAGAGUCCAUGAUUGAAGGUCAGAAUGAAUGGCAUGGCUCCCAAUGUGAUAUGGGGAUGGACAGAGGCAGGAAAUGUAUCAAGAACCCGAACAGCUAACACAUACUGAGCAGGGAUGCCAGAGAGGGCCUGGGACCCUAGCAGAGACAGGAAGAGCUGGGAAGGGAUCUGAGGAAAGCAGGUCCGAGACCAGAACAUCUAGAGUUAAUUCUUCUCAGGUUUCACAGGGGAAUUUGAGCCCCAGGUGGGCUGAGAGUCUUGCUCAAAUUAGUAACAGAAAUGAACCAGAACCCGGCUCUCUUGAGUCCCAGUCCUAUAGGUUGGCGUGAGUCCUAGCUGAGCAGACAGCUCCUACCUGAUUUUGGUUUGGGUUCAAACAGCUAUUUCUCCCACGGCCCUAGGGGUCAGGUGCCCCUGUGGCAUUUGAAGAUUGAGGGGAUGUCGGGGAUGAGGGUAGAGCAUAGUAGCCUGGUGGCCCUCGCCCACUGACUCAUGAAGAGCUCACACCUGCCUCCCACCCUAAGGGCACUGUAUGGCACUGAAAGAGAAAAGGGACUUAAAUGCCUUUUUCUCUGAGAAUUCCAUGCACCAUUUGAGAUACUGUGUGAAACCUGAGGCUUGUAAAACCAGGGCGGGGACUCGGCUUGUCACCGUGCACUCUUGGUUUGCUUGUGGAGGAAAGCCAACAGACUGAUAUUGGGAAAUUAGAAUUCUAGAAAGUGAGGGUCAGAAGGCUGGAGCAAGGUCUUGAAGCAAGUGUCCUCAUUUACAGGUAAAGGAUCUGAGACCCAGAGAGACUAGCCCAAAGCCACAGGUUGAGUUACUGGUAAUUCCAUUCAUCUUCACAUCUGGGGGAGCAUCCUUCCUCUAGGUGACUCACUUCCCCGGGGUGGUGAAUCAAGAAAGUGAGAGAGUUAGCCAGGAAAAGGGCCCAGCCUCUACCAUGCUUCCUCGGUGGGCUGUUUGAUCAGAGGUGUGACCUUUCGUAGCCCCACUGGACACAGCAGGCAAUCAGUAAGUAGGUGUAUAUCAAUAGCCAGAGCUGAGCGCUGGACCGUGAGUCAGGAGGCCCAGUUCUCACUACGGCUCUACUGCUCACAGAACAAACUCCCGUGUCGUCAGGACUCAGUGGACUUUGAGGUCCCUUCCGGCUCUCGGAUUUAAUGAAAUCUGUCAGUGACUUGCUGUUCUGCCUGUGUCGUUUUAUCAACAACGUCUGUUUGCAGAACAAGAUCCUUUCAUCUCAGGACUGUGCAUUCAGCUCUGUCCACUCGACCUUUCUGUCCACAUUCAGCACAGCAAUAAGGCAGCGCCUUCCAGUCUGGGUCCCCAAACACAUCAUUAGCUGGGAAGACACUGGAAGCACUGCAUUCUUCGGGCUGUGCUGUCAACUUUGACUUCAAAGGGAAAAUUCUCUUCCUGAUGCUUUCCCAAGCCAGUCCCUUUCCGAUAACUCACGGGGUUUCCUAACGUCUAGAUAAAUAGCCCCCCCUGCAGGCGGUGAGGCAGAACUGCAGAGUGGGUGGCUGAGAAAACCUGAAAGGACAACAAAGGUGACCCGUCCAGAUGCAGCAGGCAGCAGCCGGGGAGGAGGCAGGAGAAGCUAAACAAUACUUGUAGAGACUUCCACUCCCAGUCAAGAUGGAAUCAGAUUUACCUUCCACCUGAAGCAACUCAAAAACAAGACAGAAUAAUAAAGCAAUGACACUCAAGACAUUGGACAUUGGACAAUGGAGGAUAGUGAUUUCCUGAGCAAAUGGAAACAGCUGAGAACCCUGAAUUUUAGCUGGCCAUAUUGCCACCAAGAAGAAAAGACUACAGUUCCUACUUACAAAGAUAGAGAAACAACCUUCCCUACCACCACCCCUUCCUUCUUCCUGUGGCUUGAAACAAGGAUGUGAUAACUGGAGCUAAAGAUAUGAUAACCCGAGCUCUUGCAGCCUUCUUAGACCCAAGAGGAAAUCUUGAGAAUGGAAGCCAUAUGCUGAGGAAGCAAAGAGAUAGGUGCCUGGCUCCCAGGUGACAGCAGAGACUUCUCUACCUCUAGACUUUCUUUAUGUGAAAAAGAAGUAAAUUGUCUUAAUUAAACUCAUCUUAUUUUAAGUUUUUUGGUUAUACACAGUUCAACUUAAUCUUAGCUUGUGGAGAGAAUCAUGAGAUAUAUACAUAAAUCCUCUAAAGAGGUACCUGGUGCAUGUAUGAUGGGACCAGCAGUGAUGGUUUGUCAGUCCACCACAAGGGUAGGAUAGAGUAGAGAGUCAUAAAAAAAUGUUUUACCUAUUUUUAAACAUCUUAUUUUAACUUCAAAUGUACAUUUACUUGCUCAUAUUUUGCGUAGCUGUACCUGAUUAGAGUUCCA
ensembl:lncRNA